UACGGAGGGUGCGAGCGUUAAUCGGAAUUACUGGGCGUAAAGCGCGCGUAGGCGGUUCGAUAAGUCGGGUGUGAAAGCCCUGGGCUUAACCUGGGAAUUGCAUUCGAUACUGUCGAGCUAGAGUGUGGUAGAGGGAAGUGGAAUUUCCGGUGUAGCGGUGAAAUGCGUAGAUAUCGGAAGGAACAUCAGUGGCGAAGGCGGCUUCCUGGACCAACACUGACGCUGAGGUGCGAAAGCGUGGGGAGCAAACAGG
rnacentral:rRNA from 1 species